GUUGCCUUUGCUAGUAAUAACCACAGAAUGCAUCCUCAUUCAUUUUUUGCACUUACUUAUCCAAUUCACAGCAUGUUUCUUGAGUAUCUAUAUUGUAAUGCGUUCUGCUUAGUGUGGUGACACGACUACCAAUAAGCUACACCCAGUGAGUGCUCUCCGGGAGUUUAUAUUCGCUUGCCAGCACGAGCCCCUCUUUCCUUUCCCCAGCAAGUCCUGGCCACUGCCAGCUUAACAGCAGGUAUCGCUUUAGUUCAGCACUAACUCGGGUCCACACAGGAAUAAGACCCGUGAAAGAUCUAAAGGAAAAUCAAGAAAAAUCAAGGAACUUCCUGAUAAGAACAAUGGGCCUCUGAAGACAAACAUUAAGUUUUCAUUAUGACUUAAAGAAAUUAUGAAAUUAAAACUGUUUUAGAACACAGACAACAGAGAUGAAAGCCAGUGUCACCGUGUUGAGGUCGUCUGCUUUAUCAAAAUUCAAAUUUUAAGGGGAAACACACGCUGAGCCCUGC